AGUACGUUGACUCGUGCUAGAGACACGCUGGCGGCGUGCUUAACACAUGCAAGUCGAACGAUGAAGCGGGUGCUUGCACUCGUGGAUUAGUGGCGAACGGGCGAGUAACACGUGAGUAACCUGUCCUUUUCUUUGGGAUAACGGCUGGAAACGGCUGCUAAUACUGGAUAUUCAGGCUGCAUCGCAUGGUGUGGUUUGGAAAGGUUUUUUCUGGGAUUGGGUGGGCUCGCGGCCUAUCAGCUUGUUGGUGGGGUGAUGGCUUACCAAGGCUUUGACGGGUAGCCGGCCUGAGAGGGUGGUCGGUCGCACUGGGACUGAGAUACGGCCCAGACUCCUACGGGGGGCAGCAGUGGGGAAUAUUGCACAAUGGACGAAAGUUUGAUGCAGCGACGCCGCGUGGAGGGUGUAGGCCUUCGGGUUGUGAACUCCUUUUUCUCGCGAAAAAGGCACAGUUUUGGCUGUGUUGAUGGUAGUGGGGGAAGAAGCGCCGGCUAACUACGUG
rnacentral:rRNA from 1 species